rnacentral:rRNA from 1 species
UAAGGAAUAUUGGUCAAUGGACGCAAGUCUGAACCAGCCAUGCCGCGUGAAGGAUGAAGGUCCUCUGGAUUGUAAACUUCUUUUAUCUGGGACGAAAACGGGAUUUUUAUCUCAAUUGACGGUACCAGAGGAAUAAGCCCCGGCUAACUCCGUGCCAGCAGCCGCGGUAAUACGGAGGGGGCUAGCGUUGUUCGGAAUUACUGGGCGUAAAGCGUACGUAGGCGGAUGCGCAAGUUGGGGGUGAAAUCCCGGGGCUUAACCUCGGAAUUGCCCUCAAAACUGCACGUCUUGAGACCGAGAGAGGUAAGGGGAAUUCCUAGUGUAGAGGUGAAAUUCGUAGAUAUUAGGAAGAACACCAGUGGCGAAGGCGCCUUACUGGCUCGGUACUGACGCUGAGGUACGAAAG